UACGGGGGGGGCAAGCGUUGUUCGGAAUUACUGGGCGUAAAGGGCUCGUAGGCGGCCAACUAAGUCGGACGUGAAAUCCCUCGGCUUAACUGGGGAACUGCGUCUGAUACUGGAUGGCUUGGAUUCGGGAGAGGGAUGCGGAAUUCCUGGUGUAGCGGUGAAAUGCGCAGAUAUCAGGAGGAACACCGGUGGCGAAGGCGGGUCUCUGGGCAACUACUGACGCUGAGGAGCGAAAGCGUGGGGAGCGAACAGG
rnacentral:rRNA from 1 species